rnacentral:lncRNA from 13 species
UUUUCUUGGGAAUUCCAUCAAGAAGGUCUGCUCUGCCUAUCACCACAGACUCUAGUCUUCAGCUGGGGCAGAACCCCCUGUGCCUUACUAUUUGCCACUUGUCAAGUCCACAAUGAUAUUGGCAAGUCAGCACCAGGUCUGAACUCUACUCUCUUUGUGGGAGAAUAGAUCAAACGGGCCUUGACUGCCUGCCAAGAUUAAUUUGAAUUCUUCCUGUGAUAAGAGAUGGGCGAAGAGGAGUCACUGAUGUGUUUUAAGUAUGAAUGGAGCAAAGCUCACUAUCAUUUUGGCAUCAAUGUGGAGAAUGGAUGGAGGAGGAUGAUAUUUGUUAGAAGACUGCACAAGAUUCCAGUUGAGGAACGGGAACUCUUUUCAGAAGACUUUGCUUUUUCUCAUAAGCUGACCCAGAAAAUCAAGUAUCUGGCCCCUUUUACCCCUGUGAUGGAGGAGAGCAUUCUUGGGAAUAGAUGUCAAGUGAACCAACCUGUGGGAUUUACCUCUAUUAGGGAGGCGACUACUUCAUGUAACUGCAGUGGUCUUUAUUAUUUAAAACACUGAUUGUAAUGGAUACUCAGCUGCGUAAAGAGAUGCUAUGGAGCAUCAAGAGACACCCUUCCCACUCUCCACACACUGUAUCUCACUGACUGAAUGCCGCUGAGUAAGUUCCCUUUUUUCCUUUUCCACCCCUAAGGUUUUCCCUCUGUAAAAUGUGAAGAUUCUCUUUUUCUCUCUUUCCAUGCAAACAAAUUAACUAGUUUUUUAAAACUCCUAAAAGAGUAGAUUUUAAGUGUUCAUGUCACUCAAAACAAUGAUAAAUGUGUGAAGUAUUACAUAUGUUAAUUAGCUCUAUUUAGCUAUUGCACAAUAUAUAAAUAUUUCAAAACAACAUGUUAUAUAUGAUAAAUAUAUAAAAUCUGAAUUUUCUUUUCUUUUUUGAGACGGAGUUUCGCUUGUUACCCAGGCUGGAGUGCAAUGGCACGAUCUCGGCUCACCGCAACCUCCGCCUUCUGGGUUCAGGCAAUUCUCCUGCCUCAGCCUCCUGAGUAGCUGGGAUUACAGGCAUGUGCCACCUUGCCCAGCUAAUUUUUCGUAUUUUUAGUAGAGACAAGGUUUCACCGUGUUGACGAGGAUGGUCUCAAUCUCUUGACUUCGUGAUCCACCCGCCUCGGCCUCCCAAAGUGCUGGGAUUACAGGCGUGAACCACCUGUAAAAUCUGAAUUUUCAACUAAAAAAUUAAAAUUAAAAAACCAACAAAUUAAAUAGGGCUUCUUUCAGUUCUGAAAUUCCCAGAUCUUCAACCCAAGGUUAGUUUUUCUAUUCAAUAAGAUGAAAUUUUAAGCCUGUCUGUCUUAUUCUUCUUGUUCACUUCCUAAGCUUCAGUUCUUUGUGAAUGAGUCUCAGAGUGAAUAGCCCAGAUCUCAAUUGUUCUGAUUUAUUAAAGUUUAUAAUUUUUUCUUUGUAUAAAAACAGUCUGUAUAUUAUUAUAUUAACUAAAUAUAUUUGAAAAAAAAACAAACUAAAAAAUGAAAUAAAAGUAAAAACUGAUAGAGUGCA